UUCCUCUGUUGCCGGUGCCAGGGAUGCCCCCUCCCGUGCCUCCCCUCCGCCGGCGAGACGACUUCCUCCUCCUCUACGCCCCUGCCCUGCUCCCUUCCAUGCCUCCUUACCGCUGCUGUGACGACCAGCCCCCUCCCCUGCCUCCCGGCCGCUGCCCUCGCUCCGGCCGCACUCCCCCAUCGUAGAUCCCGGUCACCAGAGAGCCGGCACCAUCAUCUGCACCUGCAUCUAGUUCUCCAGUAGCCCGUGAAGAUAAAUCAUGUGAACUCACAGCAAAUAUGGCCGCAAUGUCCAAUAAAGAUAUCCCUGGGGCUGAAGCCCAGGCUUACAAUGAUGAAAUCCCUGUCAAGUUAUGUCAGCUUGAUGGUGAUCCCAUUGGUUCUCUUGCAAAUGUCCUUGCUGAACUACUGUAGCAUGAAGAUUCUUGUUCUGGGGAUUCUAGAAGACUGACCAACUCCAGUAAGUUAUUGCUACUGAAAGAAAACAUUGCCAAGGAGCUCGAAAAGACUGAACUUGAGAUUGAUUCAUUGGAAUGUGAUCUUAAAUUAGUGACCACUGAACCUGAAAAUAGGCCUCUUGAAAAUGCACAAAACCCUUUACCUUCUAGUGGGACGCCAAAGGUUCCGGUCAAGCCUGAGACAUGUGAAACAUCAUCUCCUCUGAAAGAACAAGGGGAGCUCUCUCCCUGCAAGAUCUCCAUGGAAGUUGAGACUGCUCCUGUUCACAAUGUAAUGGCAGUCUCUCCAGAAGGGAGUGUUGCACGUCCUGAACAAUGAAAUAGCCGGAGAAUUCAAUGAAUUGGCGUUCAAACCUUUGCCUGCUGAUCAACCUUGUCUUGAUUUGUCGGCAUUGGCUCAUUUUUCAAGCCAAAGGAAGAAUGACCUGAGUAUCAGAAAGAAGCUUGCCAUACGCAAAACUGAACUAAGAUUCAAAGAGCAAACGCUCACCUUUAAAUUCAAGGUGUUGCGGCACCUGUGGAAAGAGGAUGUGCGUCUCCUUACAGUAAGAAAGCAGCGUACAAAGUCUAGCAAGCCCACUGAUCAGAGCAACCGUGCAUCACACAGUGGAUCUCAGAGGCAGCGCUCCUCUAAUCGCUCUCGAUUGGGCAUGCCUGAUAUGGAGAUUAUCAUAUAAAACUGGAUGUACAUUCACCGAGUCGAUCCUCCGAUCUCGCGGUUUCCCCACUGGCCUCUUCACCGCACCGCAAUUGAUGGAUGCCCGAGAGAGGUUCCGCCUGGAUGGGGUGGAUAUUUCUGAAGAUAUUUUUUUAAGUACUUCAGGUGGUGCUCGAAUCAACUUCAGCCACUCUUCAUGUGCUUCAUCAAUCAUAAAUUAUUUCCCUGUUGUUGUGAUAAAUUCAUAAGUGAAAGCCUCUGGUGGUUCUACAUCAAUUGCGUCAGUAUAUGGAGUCAACAAUCUACUUUGGGUGUCGGGAGAUGCAGGAGCUAUAAAAGAUUUUGCAAUUCCAUGAAAGUACCACAAAUUUAGCACAUGUAUGGCAAAUGAAAGAAGCCAGUGAGUCAGCACAUUUGAGGAAAACGUCAACAUCAUCUACUUUGGGUCAAGAGAGAUGCAGGAGCUGCAAAAGAUUAGGCUAGACGCAUUAUGACCGGACACACAAGGCCUCCUAGGGAAUCUGAUAUGAGGCAAGAUUCUCACAUGAUGGGGAAGUUCUUCAAACAAAUUGCAUACAACUGGUGAUCCGCAUGAGAGUAAAAUACAUACAAUUUGUUACCUUUACUGGUGAUCCGCUAUUUCCCUGAUGGGGAAGUUCUUCAAACAAAGUGCACCUCAAGUUGACAAACUCAUUACUCUCCCUGAUGACUGGUACCCUUUAUAUGCACGCACCAGAAAGCAUGGCUGGGCGAUUAGGAUUCUAACGAUAUUGUUGAUCCGCAAUGAUGGAGUUUCCUUUAAAAUGUGAGAGAUCCCUAAAAUGGUGGAGUUUCCUUUGAAAUGGCUGGGCGUUUCAAAUUAGUGUGUACUUUCCUUUCAUGUAGCCAUGACGUAAUGGUGUGUUGUUAAAUUAGUGUGUACUUUCCUUUCAUGAGAUCCCUAAAAUGCUGGAGUUUCCUUUGAAAUGUUGCAGUUUCCUUUGAAAUGGCUGGGCGGUUCAAAUUAGUGUGUACUUUCCUUUCAUGUAGCCAUGACGUAAUGGUGUGUUGUUAAAUUAGUGUGUACUUUCCUUUCUGGUA